rnacentral:rRNA from 1 species
UACGGAGGGUGCAAACGUUGCUCGGAAUCAUUGGGCGUAAAGCGCACGUAGGCGGCCUGUUAAGUCGGGUGUGAAAGCCCUGGGCUCAACCCAGGAAGUGCAUUCGAAACUGGCGGGCUUGAAUAUGGAAGAGGGUCGCGGAAUUCCCGGUGUAGAGGUGAAAUUCGUAGAUAUCGGGAGGAAUACCAGUGGCGAAGGCGGCGACCUGGGCCAAUACUGACGCUGAGGUGCGAAAGCGUGGGGAGCAAACAGG